GCUAAAGGAUGCAAGUGAUGUGAUAGAGAGGAAGGGAUCCCCAUCUUGGGGUUAUGAUUGCAACUCUUAUCUUUGAAGUGGAGCUGGUAGCUUGUAGGCCAAGAAAAGGUUCUAGGGUGGCUAGCGCCUUAGAUGAAGGGGCUAGACUAGAUGAGCUGAAGAGGCAAAGGGAAAUGGCUGCUGCACAGAAAGAAGUGUGAAGAAGCAAAGGCAGCAGUGCUGCUCGUAUUCAAGAAGUGAGUAUAUGGACUGCUGCUCGUAUUCAAGCAGUGAGUAUAUGGGCUCGAAGAAAACAACCUAGAAAUAGCUCU